UGGUGGAAACUACACUUUCUAGCUAAGA
rnacentral:piRNA from 1 species